rnacentral:tRNA from 1 species
GGAGGGGUGGCCGAGCGGUCGAAGGCGCACGCUUGGAAAGCGUGUAUACGGGAAACUGUAUCGUGGGUUCGAAUCCCAUCUCCUCCGCCA